rnacentral:misc_RNA from 1 species
AUAAUGUUCAUACGAAUAUCCCAUGUUAGGGGACUGACUUCUCCGACAUCACCGUGGAGCCAUUGGUCCAGAUUACCAUUGUCAACAUACUCGUACACGAGCAUCCUAUAUGCGCCCUCAACACAGUAUCCAAGCAACCUAACAAGAUUCUUGUGCCUUACUCGUCCAAUUACUUCCACCUCCACUUUGAAUUCCUUCUCAGCUUGACCCCUGUUAUUCAACAAGUUCUUGACAGCAACUUUAGUACCAUCACCCAGAACCCCACGGUACACAAUCCCGUAUCCACCUUCGCCAAUAACAUUCUCUUCACAAAGCCCAUUCGUUGCAGCUUCCAGCUCCCUCAAAGUAUACCAGCGGCCCCACCCUAGAUGCGAGACCUCAGGACCCACACUCCCGCUGCC